AGCGAACGCUGGCGGCAGGCUUAACACAUGCAAGUCGAGCGGGCAUCCUUGUGGUGUCAGCGGCAGACGGGUGAGUAACGCGUGGGAACGUGCCCUUCGGUUCGGAAUAACUCAGGGAAACUUGAGCUAAUACCGGAUACGCCCUUUUGGGGAAAGGUUUACUGCCGAAGGAUCGGCCCGCGUCUGAUUAGCUGGUUGGUGAGGUUACGGCUCACCAAGGCGACGAUCAGUAGCUGGUCUGAGAGGAUGAUCAGCCACACUGGGACUGAGACACGGCCCAGACUCCUACGGGAGGCAGCAGUGGGGAAUAUUGGACAAUGGGGGCAACCCUGAUCCAGCCAUGCCGCGUGAGUGAUAACAGCCUUAGGGUUGUAAAGCUCUUUUCUCCGGGACGAUAAUGACGGUACCGGAGGAAUAAGCCCCGGCUAACUUCGUG
rnacentral:rRNA from 1 species